rnacentral:rRNA from 1 species
GACGAACGCUGGCGGCGUGCUUAACACAUGCAAGUCGAACGGAAAGGCCCUGCUUUUGUGGGGUGCUCGAGUGGCGAACGGGUGAGUAACACGUGAGUAACCUGCCCUUGACUUUGGGAUAACUUCAGGAAACUGGGGCUAAUACCGGAUAGGAGCUCCUGCUGCAUGGUGGGGGUUGGAAAGUUUCGGCGGUUGGGGAUGGACUCGGGGCUUAUCAGCUUGUUGGUGGGGUAGUGGCUUACCAAGGCUUUGACGGGUAGCCGGCCUGAGAGGGUGACCGGCCACAUUGGGACUGAGAUACGGCCCAGACUCAUACGGGAGGCAGCAGUGGGGAAUAUUGCACAAUGGGCGGAAGCCUGAUGCAGCAACGCCGCGUGCGGGAUGACGGCCUUCGGGUUGGAAACCGCUUUCGCCUGUGACGAAGCGUGAGUGACGGUAAUGGGUAAAGAAGCACCGGCUAACUACGUG